GGAGAGGUGGCCGAGCGGUUUAAGGCAGCGGUCUUGAAAACCGCCGGGGUUAACAGCCUCCGUGGGUUCGAAUCCCACCCUCUCCG
rnacentral:tRNA from 1 species